CAGAACGAACGCUGGCGGCAUGCCUAACACAUGCAAGUCGAACGAGACCUUCGGGUCUAGUGGCGCACGGGUGCGUAACGCGUGGGAAUCUGCCUUGGGUUCGGAAUAACAGUUAGAAAUGACUGCUAAUACCGGAUAAUGUCUUCGGACCAAAGAUUUAUCGCCCAGGGAUGAGCCCGCGUAGGAUUAGCUAGUUGGUGAGGUAAAGGCUCACCAAGGCGACGAUCCUUAGCUGGUCUGAGAGGAUGAUCAGCCACACUGGGACUGAGACACGGCCCAGACUCCUACGGGAGGCAGCAGUGGGGAAUAUUGGACAAUGGGCGAAAGCCUGAUCCAGCAAUGCCGCGUGAGUGAUGAAGGCCUUAGGGUUGUAAAGCUCUUUUACCCGGGAUGAUAAUGACAGUACCGGGAGAAUAAGCCCCGGCUAACUCCGUG
rnacentral:rRNA from 1 species